AAACUCUGUGGAUUCUGCUUCGUC
rnacentral:siRNA from 1 species